UAGGGACGUAGCUCAGCCGCGGAGAAGUUGUAAUAUAAUUGGUAUGCGACCUUACAUUCCAAAUUACACCCUUUUCGUUUUAUAGUGCACUAUGUUUAACCAUAAGGAUCUGGUUAAAGUGAGCGUACUAGCAAUAGGGUACCAUUUGGAACGUCGUAACUUCUGACUAAGCACAACUCGAGUCACAUGUCGCGGCUGUUGGCUGGUCUCUCUAGACGAGUUGACACUUCUUUCCGCCCGCUAAGAGGACGGUGUGAGGUUUUGAGAAGUCACCGAGUACCGGGGAGAAGGCGACAGCAAAGGCCAUGGCGACCGGAGACAGUGGCGGAGAGAGUCUAGAGUCGUGGCUGAACAAGGCCACAGACCCGUCUAACUCAGAAGACAGGUGGGACAGUAUCCAGGGCUUCUAUGACCAGGUCAACCAGGAGGCUGAUGGUCCUCAGGUUGCCACUCGUCUCCUGGCCCACAAGAUCCAGUCUCCUCAGCAGAGAGAGGCUCUGCAGGCCCUCACAGUAAGAUAACACACCAUCAUAUUAUUAUACUAUAGUAAUAACUAUAUAAUACUGUUGUAAAA